AGUGAACGCUAGCGGCGUGCCUAACACAUGCAAGUCGAGCGAAAUUAUGCAAGAGUAUCGCAUGAUUUAGCGGCAAACGGGUGAGUAACACGUAGAAAAUCUACCUUAAAAUGUGGGAUACCUUUAAGAAAUUAAAGUUAAUACCGCAUAGUAUUAUGGUUUGGCAUCAAACUAUAAUAAAAGCAGAAAUGUGUUUUAAGAUGAUUCUGCGUCCUAUCAGCUAGUUGGUAAGAUAACAGCUUACCAAGGCUUUGACGGGUAUCUGGCCUGAAAGGGUGAACGGACACAUUGGAACUGAGACACGGUCCAAACUCCUACGGGAGGCAGCAGUGGGGAAUAUUGGACAAUGGGGGAAACCCUGAUCCAGCGACGCCGCGUGAAGGAUGAAGGCCUUAGGGUUGUAAACUUCUUUUAGGAGGAAAGAAAAAAAUGACGGUACCUCCAGAAAAAGCCACGGCUAACUACGUGCCAGCAGCCGCGGUAAUACGUAGGUGGCAAGCGUUACUCGGAAUUACUAGGCGUAAAGAGUAUGUAGGUGGUAAGAUAAGUCUUUAGUGAAAUUUUUUAGCUUAACUAAGAAAGGUCUGAGGAUACUAUUUUACUUGAGUAUAGGAGAGGAAGAUGGAAUUCCUGGUGUAGCGGUGGAAUGCGUAGAUAUCAGGAAGAACACCAAUGGCGAAGGCAAUCUUCUAGACUAUUACUGACACUGAGAUACGAAAGCUAGGGGAGCAAACAGGAUUAGAUACCCCGGUAGUCCACGCCGUAAACGAUGGAUGUUAACUGUGGGGGGUAUCGACCCCCUCCGUAGUAAAGCUAACGCGUUAAACAUCCCGCCAGUGGAGUACGGCCGCAAGGCUAAAACAUAAAGGAAUUGACGGGGACCCGCACAAGCGGUGGAGCGUGUUCUUUAAUUCGAUGCUAAACGAAGAACCUUACCAGGGCUUGACAUCCCUUAGCGAAUUUCCGAAAGGAAAUUUUCAUUUAGUUGGAAGGUGACAGGUGAUGCAUGGCCGUCGUCAGCUCGUGUCGUGAGAUGUUUGAGUUAAGUCCAUCAACGAGCGCAACCCUUAUUGUUAGUUGUAUUUUUCUAGCAAGACUGCUUUCGUAAGAGAGAGGAAGGAGGGGAUGAUGUCAGGUCAGUAUUUCCCUUACGCCCUGGGCCAGAAACGCGCUACAAUGGCCGGUACAACGGGCAGCGAAACUGUAAAGUGAAGCAAAUCCCAUCAAAACCGGUCCCAGUUCGGAUUGAGGGCUGAAACUCGCCCUCAUGAAGCCGGAAUCGCUAGUAAUCGCAGAUCAGCAGGCUGCGGUGAAUACGUUCCCGGGCCUUGUACACACCGCCCGUCACACCACGAAAGUCAGUUGUAACAGAAGUCAUUGAUCUAACCUUGAAAAAGGAAGUAAAUGCCUAAGUUAUGGUUAACGAUUGGGGUG
rnacentral:rRNA from 1 species